AUUCUUUCGUAGAUCUCCCUCGACUUGGGCUUCGUACAUCGAAUCGAGAGAGGCUCUUACCUGGGAGGCUGGGAGAGAGCAGUCAGGCGGCGGCGGCUCGAAGCACAGUCGGGCGGUGGCGGCUAAUAUUUACCCAUUGCCACCAUUGCCACCCGUAUAAGUAGAUAAAAGACCUAGCGAGUCGAUCCCCAUCUCCCUCGACUCGAUCCCUCGAUCCCGCAGGUCGCGUACGGUGCUCCUCUCUCCCUCGAUCCUUUCUUUCCCCGUCGCGCCGCACCCACCCACAACCCACCAUCGAUCCCGCAGCCCUUCGGCGCUCCUCUCGCUGACCACCACCGUCGCCUCCCCCAAGGCCACCGGCGCCGCGUCUGUGCCACCUCCUCCCUCACCGGCCUCAAGCCCCUUCUCCAGCGCCUUCCCUCUCCUCUACAGCAGGAUGGUGAGGGGAGGACAUGAGAGGGCGGACGCGGCGGAACGGGACGACCAUCUGAUGUCUUCGGUGUGGUAGCCCAACCCACCACUCCUCAUGCGACGAUGACGACGAAGGGCAGAGGACCAUCUAACUACGUUCCGCAGGUGAUGGAAUUGGAGAAGCAACUUUGGUCAGAAGGUCGAUGGACCGAGGACCGAGGAACUACAGAUGCUGUGGCGGAGGCCGUGGAGACUACUCAGCCUUGGUCCAGAAUCUUGGCAAACCACUCAUGAUACCUAAUGGACACUGUCUUCUCUGAAAUUGUCUCAAUGACAGUGGCCCCGGGCCCCACCCGGUAGCCUCUCCGGGGGGGCAAAUGAUCCAAUGAAGAAGUAAAGUGGGGCAAAAGAUCCAAUUUCUGCCAAUGGAGAACUUUCACCCCCAUCUAAUGGUGGAAAUAAAGGAGUCAAUAAUUCAGUCAAGCCAUUAGUUGUCUAAUGUACGCAAGUGUCGACAUACCCGUGCGCCUCCUCUUCCCACUCCUAUCUUCUCCUUCGCUCCAGGUCAAGCGACAUCCCAUCACUUGGACCCAGGAAUCGCUGCCUUCCAAACCGUACCUCGCGCAACCUUGCCGAGCAAUUGAUAUGUCCAUCCAGUAGCUGCAGCCCAAGCUCGCUACCGGGACGCUGGCGGCGGCCGCCGAAUUCUUGCGUGGACGUGACGGCCAGUGGCGGACCUAGGACCAAAGUAUUGGGGGUGCCAAACAUCAGUACAUUGGGUGUGCCAUGGCACCCAUGGAAACCCCCUAGAUCCGUCACUGGACAUUAUGCAUGCAGACAAUGAUAAGAGGAAAUCAGUAUUAAUAGCACGAUUUUCCGACUUACUUGGCUUGGUAUGGCGCUGCCGUAUACUUGGAGACACUGUGCGGGUGCUACAUUUGGUACAAUGUCAUGGCGGCAUAGAAUCUGUAAGUGAAAGAGGUCAAGACGAGUGCCUCCUUCUCCAUCAUGGUUUGUGGUGAUCUGCAGGUCAGUAUGGGGAAUCCCUAGCUCCACGUAGGCCGCGGCUCUGCGUCGCUAACCGUGAUGGGCGCCGGCAUCAUUGUUCUCGCCACGUCGUCGUUGGGGCUGCUCUAACCGUGGUGGGUGCCGCCGCGCCGGCAUCAUUCUUCUCGCCACCCCGCGUCGUCGUCGUUGGGGCUGCUCUAACCGUGGUAGGCACCUCCGCGCUGGCAUCAUUCUUCUCGCCACCAUUGUUGCGACCAGUGUCGUCGGUGCAUGUGUUGCAGCCUUGCAGGUCGCUGUCGUGGACAGUUGGCUGCUGGAGGUCGUGUUCGGGGAAGAGAACGAGCAGAAGAAGAUUGGGAAAGAGAGGGAGGAGGGGAAGACAAUGAGACCAUGAUCGAUCGCAGAGAUUGUGCGGCACGUCCGGUGUGGCCCGAACCCGCGUCUACGAGUGAUCGUCGUCAAGUGCGUACUUGAGGAAUACAGAGAGGGAAAGCAAUCAGCUAACAUGGUGCCGGAGUUCCUCCAAGAUUUUGUUUUGCACAACUAGGACGGCCAUAGCACUAGGCAGAUGCGGCACCAAAUCAUAGUCCUAGACUCCUGAUGCACCUUCUAGCACAUGCAGGCGUUGCUUCUUAAGUACUCCCUCCGUUCCUAAAUAUAAGUCUUUUUAGAGAUUUCAAUACAAACUACAUAUGGAUGUAUAUAGACAUACUUUAGAUUGUAGAUUCACUCAUUUUACUCCAUAUGUAGUCACCUAUUGUAAUCUCUAAAAAAACUUAUAUUUAGGAACGGAGGGAGUACGUAGGUAUUGAUUCUGAUUUGUAUGGAUGGCCUCCUUCUACAUACAACUAGAGAACUCAUAGGUUAUUUCCUUUCCUAGCAUGGCCUGCACGGCACUGCUUGCAGCAGUGGUGCCAAAAAUUACUGCCCAUUAAUGAUUCCUUCACAGACAAUAGUAGUUUACACUAAUACGGUGACCAUCUCUUUCUACGAUGCAAGGAAGCAAGGAAAAUGUGGCGUGCCUGUGGCCUUGAGGAACUCCGGCUGAUGCUCCUUACAUGUCCUACUCCGCGUCAGCUGCUAGAAGCCUUGUUCUCUCUGCCUGAAGAUGAAAAGUUAAAGUGUAUUCUCCUACUAUGGCUGUGGUGGACUGAGCGGAAUAAAGCUAAUCAUAAACAGACCCGGGCGUCAGUAGAAGAAUUUCAAUUUCUAAUGACCAGGCAUGUAGCCGAAUGGCGCCAGUUCUGUAUGAAGCCGGAAAGCAAACAACAGCAGGUGUUCAGAAAACCAGUGUGGAAAGGGACAGAGGUGGAUACAGUGAAGAUUAAUAUUGAUGGAGCCUUUGACGGUUCCAAUCAGCUUGCAGGCUGGGGCUGCAUUGCGCGUGACCAUACAGGAGAUGUCAUUUUUGCCGCUGCGGUAAAACUUGACUAUAUGAGUGAGGCUUUGCAUGCUGAGGCGUACGCCCUUAUCAGGGGUAUCCAGCUGGCUGGAAACUAUGGGAUGGGUAAGGUUGUUUUUGAGACUGACUGCCUGGGUCUGGUCCGAGCUAUGAAAUCAAAAAUGUUCGAUCGGUCGCCUCUUGGUGUUGUUUUCCGGGAGACAAGGUUUCUUCUUCAGUUGGGUAUUAGUGAAUGGAGUAUUAUCCACUGUCCCCGCACUUGUAAUGUUCCAGCUC